ACUCCUGCGGGAGGCAGCAGUGGGGAAUUUUACGCAAUGGGGGAAACCCUGACGUAGCGACACCGCGUGAGCGAAGAAGCCCUUUGGGGUGUAAAGCUCUGUCAGCUGGAACGAAAACAAUGACGGUACCAGCAGAGGAAGCAUCGGCUAACUACGUGCCAGCAGCCGCGGUAAGACGUAGGAUGCGAGCGUUGUCCGGAUUUAUUGGGCGUAAAGAGUUCGUAGGUGGUUUGUUAAGUUUGGUGUUAAAGAUCGGGGCUCAACCCUGGGACUGCACUGAAUACUGGCAGACUCGAGUGUGGUAGAGGCUAGUGGAAUUCCCAGUGUAGCGGUGAAAUGCGUAGAUAUUGGGAAGAACACCGGUGGCGUAGGCGACUAGCUGGGCCAUAACUGACGCUGAGGAACGAAAGCCAGGGGAGCGAAUGGGAUUAGAAACCCGAGUAGUCCC
rnacentral:rRNA from 1 species